UACGUAGGGUGCAAGCGUUGUCCGGAAUUAUUGGGCGUAAAGAGCUCAUAGGCGGUUUGUCGCGUCUGCUGUGAAAACUCGGGGCUUAACUCCGGGCCUGCAGUGGGUACGGGCAGACUAGAGUGCGGUAGGGGAGACUGGAAUUCCUGGUGUAGCGGUGAAAUGCGCAGAUAUCAGGAGGAACACCAAUGGCGAAGGCAGCUCGCUGGGACGGUACUGACGCUGAGACGCGAAAGCGUGGGGAGCAAACAGG
rnacentral:rRNA from 1 species